rnacentral:rRNA from 1 species
CCUACGGGCGGCAGCAGUGAGGAAUAUUGGUCAAUGGACGAGAGUCUGAACCAGCCAAGUCGCGUGAAGGAUGAAUGUCCUAUGGGUUGUAAACUUCUUUUAUAUGGGAAUAAAGUGUUCCACGUGUGGGAUUUUGUAUGUACCAUAUGAAUAAGGAUCGGCUAACUCCGUGCCAGCAGCCGCGGUAAUACGGAGGAUCCGAGCGUUAUCCGGAUUUAUUGUGUUUAAAGGGUGCGUAGGCGGAUUGUUAAGUCAGUGGUGAAAGUGUGCGGCUCAACCGUAGAAUUGCCGUUGAAACUGGCAGGCUUGAGUACAGUAGAGGUAGGCGGAAUUCGUGGUGUAGCGGUGAAAUGCUUAGAUAUCACGAAGAACUCCGAUUGCGAAGGCAGCUCACUGGACUGCAACUGACACUGAGGCUCGAAAGUGUGGGUAUCAAACAGGAUUAGAUACCCGAGUAGUC